GCACUUAAAACCUCAGACCGAAUCACAAUGGCUUCACCCAAGGUUGCGUCCCAAACCGCAUACUUUAAGGCUUAGUAGGUUAUGGCGCACUGAUUAGUGCGUCAAGGUAUGGUUUUUAUUUAAAGGGAAACGCGUCACUCUUGAGCCACCGCCCACCGAGUCGCUCAGUUCAGUCGGGUUAGUGAUCUGAAGCAGCUUGAGGGAGGAGAUCGACUUCCGGCAGAUAUCAGGAGGAUCAUUCUGCAAUAAACAAACACCAUCAUAACCACCAACAACAUCACCACCAUCAGCAGCAGCAUUACCAUCACCACCACCACCACCACCACUACUACUAUAAUAAUAAUAAUAAUAAUAAUAAUAA